GGCAGAUCUAUACUUUUCAGAUUUGAAAUAACUAUCUGCCCCUACAUGCAGAAGGUGUUAUUACCAAAUAAGAGAACCUUGUCUCUGGUGUUCAGUGACAUUGGUUUUAAUUAAUCAACAUUUGGUUUUAACAUGAAGGACACUUCAGGAAUAAUUAGGAACAUACUUGGUUUUGUUUUUGAUAUAGACAUGUGUUAUUUCUGGCUAAAAGGAUACAAAACAUUGGCAACAAAUAUGGUGUAGGUAUCGUCAUAUCAAAGGCAUGUCAUAUCAUGUCCCUGCGAUUACAGCUUGUUGUAGGCUGCAAAGCAUAAGAGGUAUGCUUUUCAAAGGCAUUGGUAAAAGGUCCGGUGGAAUUCUCAGUUUCGGAAUGUUGUUGUCAGUCAACGCAAAAACACUGUACCAAAAAAGUAUUGUACUGUAGCCGACGUUGAUAAGCUACUGAAAUGAUGCUGACAUUAAAUUACGGAACAAAAUAUGGACAAACCUAUAGGAGUUUGAGCCAAGACAAGAGGACACUGCUUUGUGGGACAGAAAAUACCCCUCUCCUCUCCCCUAUCCAGGGAGAGCUCUUGCCUCCCUCCCCCAGUCCUCCAACAUAUCCCUUACUCCUUUGUCCCCCUCUGUCCUCCCCUCUCUCAAACCACCGUCUGCUCUCCCCGGCACUUCCUACAGCCAACAUACACCGACGAGACAAGAUACACAACAGCGCCCAGACAUGCGAACACGGCAGCAGCCAGAUAGACUUUAUACAGGCAGUGGUGUUUAUAUUGCUCCAGGUUGCAGUACUCGUACCGCUCUGUCUUGUAGAUCAUGACGCCGAUCGCCGGUAGAUAAAGCACCGCAGCAGCGACGUCAUGAACCAGGUUGCUAAGCAACCACCGGUCCCCUCCCAAGACGGGGACAAGGUCCUGCUUGUCCAGGAGGGUGAUAAAAAACGCGGUGAGGGUGAGGAGCCAGAAGAGCACGGCCACGAACAGGACGAAGUGGAUGGCGCCUUCGUAUUUGUUGGCGGCGAUUGUGACCCAUAGUCCUGCUCCGAAAAUGAUUUGGAGGAUUCGGAUGAUGCCGAGCAAACUCUUUAGGAAGUCCCAAAAAUGUUUAUUCACCUCCGGCUGGGGGGGCAUCUCUGCUCCAGCGAACACUGGGUCCUUUAACUGAGCAGGGCGGGGGCUUUCAAUCUGCCACAAAAUAAAAAUAAAAACACCAACAAAAAAAUGACAAAUAAAAAGGGAGGGUGGAGUAAAAUGACAAAUAAAAAGGGAGAGUGGAGUGCUAAAUAGGUGGUUAGAAGUAUAAAGUUUGUAAAAGAGUUGUCUUUUCUUCUUCACAGCCCCGGGGUUUUAAAAUGAGGAUUGUGUGAGUUUCGUCUUUUCC
rnacentral:lncRNA from 1 species